GUUUGACCUAGAGUGUUGGCCUGGAAGUUCAGGCUCUUGGAGCUUAAGAUGGGACAUGCCUGGGGCCAAGACAAGAGCCGGGUAGGAUUGCACUGAACUCUCCCAGCCUCAACCUCUACGCAAGAGAACUCACAGGAAGGGUUAGCGUGAGCCUCAAAUUGCAAUAAUGUACAUAAAGUAUAUUAUUGUGCUAUAAAAAAUGACAAGCAAGAUGAUUUCAGAAAAAC